CCGACCUGCACGAAUGGUGUAACGAUCUGGGCACUGUCUCAGCCACGAGCUCGGUGAAAUUGUAGUAGCGGUGAAGAUGCCGCUUACCCGCAACGGGACGAAAAGACCCCAUGAACCUUUACUAUAGCUUCACAUUGGUAUUGGGUAAAUAAUGUGUAGGAUAGGCGGGAGACUUCGAAGCUGUGUCGCCAGGCAUGGUGGAGUCGUUGGUGAAAUACCGCCCUUUAUUUAUCUGAUGCCUAACCCCUUUUGAGGGGGACAGUGUGUGGUGGGUAGUUUGACUGGGGUGGUCGCCUCCAAAAGAGUAACGGAGGCUUUCAAAGGUACCCUCAGUACGCUUGGUAACCGUACGCAGAGCGCAAUAGCAUAAGGGUGCUUGACUGUGAGGCCUACAAGCCGAUCAGGGUCGAAAGACGGAUAUAGUGAUCCGGUGGUUCCGCAUGGAAGGGCCAUCGCUCAAAGGAUAAAAGGUACUCUGGGGAUAACAGGCUGAU
rnacentral:rRNA from 1 species